rnacentral:rRNA from 1 species
GACGAACGCUGGCGGCGUGCCUAAUACAUGCAAGUCGAGCGGAGCGGCGAACGGGCGAGUAACGCGUGAGUAACUGCCCCCCUCUCUGGGAUAACAGUUGGAAACGGCUGCUAAUAUAGGAUAGGGGGGGAUGACUCGGGGCCUAUCAGCUUGUUGGUGGGGUAGUGGCCUACCAAGGGGUCGAUGGGUAGCCGGCAUGGGAGGGGGACCGGGCACAUUAGGCUACGAUACGGACCAGACUCCUACGGGGGACAGCAGUGGGGAGUAUUGCGCAACGGGGGAGACCGUGUUACGGCGACGCGCGUGCGGAAUGACGGCCUUGGGGUUGUGAACCGCUUUCAGCGAUGACGCGGUAGUGGCAGAAGAAGCACCGGCUAACUACGUGCCAGCAGCCGCGGUAAUAC